GCCCUCGACCUAUUCUCA
rnacentral:snRNA from 1 species